GCCCUGGUGGCCAAGUGGUAACUCUCCCGCCUGUCAUGUGGGUGACUCGGGUUCAAAUCCCGCCAUAGGCA